rnacentral:rRNA from 1 species
UACGUAGGGAGCAAGCGUUGUCCGGAAUCAUUGGGCGUAAAGCGCGCGUAGGUGGUCCCGUAAGUCCGCUGUGAAAGUCAAAGGCUCAACCUUUGAAAGCCGGUGGAUACUGUGGGACUAGAGUACGGAAGAGGCGAGUGGAAUUCCUGGUGUAGCGGUGGAAUGCGCAGAUAUCAGGAGGAACACCAAUAGCGAAGGCAGCUCGCUGGGACGGUACUGACGCUGAGGCGCGAAAGCGUGGGGAGCGAACAGG